rnacentral:rRNA from 1 species
CAGUCGCCGCGGUAAUACGGAGGGGGCUAGCGUUGUUCGGAAUUACUGGGCGUAAAGCGCACGUAGGCGGCUUGGUAAGUUAGAGGUGAAAGCCCGGAGCUCAACUCCGGAAUUGCCUUUAAGACUGCCGAGCUAGUAGGUGAGAGAGGUAAGUGGAAUUCUGAGUGUAGAGGUGAAAUUCGUAGAUAUUCGGAAGAACACCAGUGGCGAAGGCGGCUUACUGGCUCAUUCUAGACGCCGAGGUGCGAAAGCGUGGGGAGCAAACAGGAUUAGAUACCCGCGUAGUCCCUGUCUCUUAUAA